UGCCAAGUGAUGUCAGAAACCAGGGUUAGGCCUUGAAGGCUAGCAUGCAAGUGCUGUUGGCUAGCUCGCAAGGACAGCAACCUGCCUCCACCAACAGAAAGCAGCCCCGCACAUGCGUUCACGCACGGUGUCUUGUUGUGUGCCUAAGAAUGGUCUCAGGUUCCGUCCCCAAGAGUGGCACCUCCCCCGUCCCCCUGACCUCAGAGCUCACACCAAGGCAAGAGCAGAGCUGAAAUCCUACAGAAAACAGGCCUGGGAAUACCAUGCUUAAUUGCUGAAAGACUGCGGGACUUCAGGUGGGCCUUACAGACACCUGCUCGUGUGCUGC
rnacentral:lncRNA from 13 species